GACGAACGCUGGCGGCGUGCUUAACACAUGCAAGUCGAACGGAAAGUCCCGGCUUUGUGGGGGUGCUCGAGGUGCGAACGGGUGAGUAACACUUGAGUUACCUGCCCUUGACUGUGGGAUAACUUCAUGCAACUGGGUCUAAUACCGGAUAGGAGCUCUUGCUUCAUGGUGGGGGUGGGAAAGUUUCGGCGGUUGGUGAUGUACUCGCGGCUUAUCAGCUUGUUGCUGGGGUAGUGGCUGAGCAAGGCUUUGAGCGGUAGGCGGCCUGGGAGGGUGACAGGACCCAUUGGACUUGGACUGAGGCCCAGCCCCCUCCGGGAGGCAGCGGUGGGGAAUAUUGCACAAUGGGCGGAAGCAUGAUGUAGCAACGCAGCGUCGGGGAUGACGGGCUUCGGGUUGUAAACCGAUUUCCCCUGUGACGAAGCGUGAGUGACGGUAAUGGGUAAAGAAGCACCGGCUAACUACGUG
rnacentral:rRNA from 1 species